CUGUGUACCAGUUGAAGUUCUAAGCAUGUGAAUGCAAAACACUUGUUUUUUUUUUUGUUUUUUUUUAACAAUCUAUACAAAAUAUAAUGGAACUGUUCAUAAUUCCUUAUAACUUUUAGGUCUAGUUUCACAGACAGGGCUUGGAUUAAGCCAGGAUUAGGCCGUAGUUACUAGUUAAUUUAGAACAUUGAAGUAGCUUUUGUAAACGUGCUUUUAGAAAAAAAAAACAUUACUGAUGUGCAUCUUGAGACAAAACCAUGGCAAUGACACCUUUUUUUUUUUUGUAAUACCCAAUAGUUGCCAGAUGCUGCCCUGUUGGAAAUUCUUCUUUAUGUGAUCCUGGAGGAGGGUGAUGCUACAUUAUUAAGUCUGUCUUUGGUUUGUUCCAAAUUCAGAAGUCUGUUGAAUACAGACUCCUUUCGAAAGAGGGCACAAUUCAGCUGGCUUGACGGUGUAUUUUCUUUUACAUAUUUGAUUUAAAAUGGUGCCAUAACAUGAAAUUUCUCAGUUGCCAUGUCUGAAUGUUUAUCUUCGUAAUAAUGCUGUUUUUAUGCUCCUCAUCUCAAUAUACAGGUGUAACAAAAUGGAGAACAAGUCUAAGCCAUGCCAGGAAUUCUUCCAAAUGUACACCCUGCAGACACUGCGGGGUUUACAACAACUGCUUACCAGGUCACUACAGUCAUCCAGAUCCAGUACGUAUCCAGACUAGAUAGUGGAUCAGCACCUAGAGAGGACCUCUACAUUCCUGAAAGACAGCGAUGACCAGGACAACUAGAGCCCCAGAUACAGAUCCCCUGUAAAGACCUUGUUUUUUCUCAAUUCUGUCACCGAUGGAGUUUUGGUUCCUUGUUGCCUCUGGCUUGCUUCGUUGUGGUCACUUCAUUUACAGCGAUAUCAUUGACAUGAUUGCAAAUGAUUCCACAGAUACUAUUUAAACUGAACCGAGCUGAAGUAUGACAUCACUGAAUUCAAUGAUAAACUGCCUUUUGACUAAAACUGAGUGUUUACUAAUGCCCUUCUGCAUUAUUGACUGACACACUAUUUUCCUAUUUAAUACUGUAAAGUUGCUUUGCUUUGAUCUGUAUUAUUAAAAGCACUAUAUAAAUGAAGGAGGCUUGACUUGA